AAGCUCGUAGUUGAAUUUCGGGGUUCUACCGUUGGUCGGGCAAUAGUCUGUACCGGCGUGUAGAAUUUCUACCUUCUGGGGAACUAUCAUGUUAUUUAUUUAGCGUGGUAGGAAACCAGGACCUUUACCUUGAAAAAAUUAGAGUGUUCAAAGCAGGCUUACGUCUGAAUACAUUAGCAUGGAAUAAUAAAAUAGGACGGUGGUCCUGUUUUGUUGGUUUCUGAAUCACCGCAAUGAUUAAUAGGGAUAGUUGGG
rnacentral:rRNA from 1 species